rnacentral:rRNA from 1 species
CAUGCAGUCGAACGGUGUCUUCGGACACAGUGGCGGACGGGUGAGUAACGCGUGAGAAUCUGCCUCUAGGUUGGGGACAACAGUUGGAAACGACUGCUAAUACCCGAUGUGCCGUAAGGUAAAAGAUUUAUUGCCUGGAGAGGAGCUCGCGUCUGAUUAGCUAGUUGGUGGGGUAAAAGCCCACCAAGGCAGCGAUCAGUAGCUGGUCUGAGAGGAUGAGCAGCCACACUGGGACUGAGACACGGCCCAGACUCCUACGGGAGGCAGCAGUGGGGAAUUUUCCGCAAUGGGCGAAAGCCUGACGGAGCAAUACCGCGUGAGGGAGGAAGGCCUUUGGGUUGUAAACCUCUUUUCUCAGGGAAGAGGAUCUGACGGUACCUGAGGAAUAAGCAUCGGCUAACUCCGUGCCAGCAGCCGCGGUAAUACGGAGGAUGCAAGCGUUAUCCGGAAUCAUUGGGCGUAAAGCGUCCGCAGGUGGUUUUUCAAGUCUGCUGUUAAAGACUGGAGCUCAACUCCGGAAAGGCAGUGGAAACUGGAAGACUAGAGUUCGGUAGGGGUAGCGGGAAUUCCCAGUGUAGCGGUGAAAUGCGUAGAUAUUGGGAAGAACAUCGGUGGCGAAGGCGCGCUACUGGACCGAAACUGACACUCAGGGACGAAAGCUAGGGGAGCGAAAGGGAUUAGAUACCCCUGUAGUCCUAGCUGUAAACGAUGGAAACUAGGUGUGGCUUGUAUCGACCCGAGCCGUGCCGUAGCUAACGCGUUAAGUUUCCCGCCUGGGGAGUACGCACGCAAGUGUGAAAC